rnacentral:rRNA from 1 species
UUGAACGCUGGCGGCAGGCCUAACCCCUGCCAGUCGAACGGUAACAGGAAGAAGCUUGCUUCUUUGCUGACGAGUGGCGGACGGGUGAGUAAUGCCUGGGAAACUGCCUGAUGGAGGGGGAUAACUACUGGAAACGGUAGCUAAUACUGCAUAACGUCGCAAGACCAAAGAGGGGGACCUUCGGGCCUCUUGCCAUCGGAUGUGCCCAGAUGGGAUUAGCUAGUAGGUGGGGUAACGGCUCACCUAGGCGACGAUCCCUAGCUGGUCUGAUAGGAUGACCAGCCACACUGGAACUGGGACACGGUCCAGACUCCUACGGGAGGCAGCAGUGGGGAAUAUUGCACAAUGGGCGCAAGCCUGAUGCAGCCAUGCCGCGUGUAUGAAGAAGGCCUUCGGGUUGUAAAGUACUUUCAGCGGGGAGGAAGGGAGUAAAGUUAAUACCUUUGCUCAUUGACGUUACCCGCAGAAGAAGCACCGGCUAACUCCGUG